GAGCUGAUGAAAUAGUAAUGACGCGGGGGGUGUAUUUUUGUCCUGACCCCAGCCCCCAUAAGGCACGGCGGUGUCUGACUUCCUCCAGAGUCGCACGUCCCGAAGGACAGUCAGCCACGGAGCUGCUGAACGAAGCCAAAUUAGACAGACUAUAGGUGUCAGAUCACCUGGGAAAACCGGGAGAAACAUAACAGACGAAAAGAGGGAUAAACUCUUCCUUCUUUCUGUUGUAUCUUCUAUUUCUCGUGUCAAAGUCAAGGCCCGGGGGCCGGAUCCGGCCCUCCAGCCUCAGCAGCUCCUCCUGAUGAGUUAGUCGAUGUGAUGUGAAAGGCUUUUAUUAAGGCACCUCUGCGUUUGGGGAGAUCUCAUCUCAGCUGACCCGUGAGAGGCUUGCUGAGGCUCAGAAGUGCCGAGUCUGGCUUGUUUUUUGAUUUCCUUCUGCAACUGUCCAACACCAAAAGGACCCGGCGCAGCAGCCUUCACAGAUGCCUGCACAAGCCGAGGCGACGAGCAUGUGACUGCUGCCUGCCGAGUGCUGGCACUGCCGUGAUUCAGGCACCGUUGAGGAUCCCGGAUCUCCGAGGUGCAUGUCUGAAACGUAAUAUGAGACGGUGAAAGGACAGAAGUCCCACUCCCGUCAUCUAUUCAUCCGUUUUCAGAGCAUUCCCAGUCUUUGGAUUAUGACGUUUUUACUCAACAUUUAUUUAAAAAACGGUUGUGUUCUAGGAUACAAGUUCAUUAGAAAUUCACCUGUGAGUUGUGGGCGGGGCUUUUGGUGCAGAAUAAGCCCUCCUCUAUUUCCCAUCAUCCAUUAGUUUACACGCUCUCUUGCAAUCAUUACAAACUGUGAGAAAUAUCAAAGCUGUCCAGUUGUACAGUUCAACAAAGACGUUCAUGGAUCUAUUUGUAAGUGGAUGCAUCCGAAUGGGGCGGAGCUUGUGGCUCACUGAGUGUAGCACCUGUGUCACAUCACUGCAACACAUUCUCAUUCCCAAGUCGUCAUAUAUUGACGUUGGGUUAAGGACUCAAAAACAUCAAACGUGACAUGGAACGGUCCUUAACCGAACGGCAGUCCUUGAUGACUUGGAGAUGUGUUGGUCACACCUACAAGCUUUUCAAACAAUC